GCCGUGGUGGUGCAGUGGUCAGCACACCCGAUCCCCCAUACAGUCGCUUUAUACGCUCGUUCACACAAUACACUCUCUCCAGGAUCGGGAGGUCGUUGGUUCGAAUCCAACCCAUGGUG
rnacentral:tRNA from 1 species